AUUUACAAUUCUGACUGCUGCAGCUUGUUAGUCUAGACUAGAUAAUUAGUGGAAUGGAUUAAUUGGUUAGACAGAUAAUCAGCAGGUCCGAUUACUGCUAUAAACAUGUUUUAUAAGUGAGAUGAGUGGAUAUUUUAUGCUUAAACAGAGGUGGUGCUUGAAGUUAACUGGCUGAGCAGGAAUCAUAGCAGGAUUAGCAAGUAAAUCAAAGUCUGCGAACAGUGGAAAUGAAUAUAUGAGUUUAUGACAACAGAAGCCUCUUCAAGCCUGUUUAAUUCUUUUUUAUUUGGUAUAAAGUUUGUUUAAUUUGGAUGAAAAUUAACAAAGUUA